rnacentral:rRNA from 1 species
GGAUUAGAUACCCUUGGUAGUCCACGACCUUAAAACGAUGGUGCUAAGUGUUAGAGGGUUUCGCCCUAUAGUGCUGAAGUAAACGCAGUUUAAGCACUCCGCCUGGGAGUACGGCCGCAAAGGCUGAAAGCAAAGGAAUUGACGGGGCCCGCACAAGCGGUGGAGCAUGUGGUUUAAUUCGAAGCAACGCGAGACCUUACCAGUCUGACUUUCUGAAAACCCUAGGAGAUAGGGCUUUCCUUCGGGAGCAGAGUGACAGGUGUGCAUGGUUGUCGCGUCAGUCGUGUCGUGAGAUGUUGGGUUAAGUCCGCAACGAGCGCAACCUUGAUCUUAGUUGCCAUCCAUUAAGUUUGGCAACUCUAAGGUGAUGCCGGUGACAAACCGAGGAAGUGGGAUGACGUUCAAUUCAUCAUGCCCCUUGGACCUGGCACACACGGCUACAAUGGACGGACAAAGGCUCAAUACCGCGAGGUGGAGCUAAUCUCAUACAAACCGGUCUCAGUUCGGAUUGAUAGCUGCAACGCGCCUACAUGAAGCGGGAUCGCUAGUAAUCGCGGAUCAGCAUGCCGCGUGUGAUACGUUCCCGGGCCUUUACACCACCGCCCGUCCACACCACGAGAGUUGUAACACCCGAAGUCGUGGGGUAACCCUUUUUGGAGCAGCCCUAGGUGGGACAGGAUGAUUGGGGUGAAGUCGUAACAAGGUAGCCGCAUAUCGGAAGGUGCGCUGGAUCACCCUCCUUUCU